AAAACCCAUGAACUAUACCCCAAUUUCCAAAUUUACCAUGAACUAUUUUUUUUAUCAGCAAUUCCCUGAAUUUAAGGGGUUGACCAAUUUUUCCAUGCUUUUUUGCUCCGGUGAAGCUCCGAGCUGACCUGUCGCAUACGUGGUAUUACUGAGCUGAUAUGGCGCCUAUUGGACUGAAAGAUUGACACUUGAAAAAAAAAACAAAAAAAACAAAGAAAAAACAAAAACUCAUUUCCUUUGACUUCCUCCUCUCUUCUAUGUCCGUGGAAGUCCACCGGAGGAUCGCCGACAGCCAUGGCUCCAUCCAGCCAUUACAGCCGCCACCACAGGUGGCUGCUCCUCCACCGCCGCCGUUAUCGGAGGAGGAUAUCUUCUCCACUGCCUCAACUUCCAUUCCUCCGUCAUCGCCGCC
rnacentral:lncRNA from 1 species